GUCAUGCUAGCUCAGUUGGUAGAGAAUCUGACUUUUAAUCAGGGGGUCACAGGUUCGAAUCCUGUGCAGGACACCA
rnacentral:tRNA from 1 species